GUCAUCUAAAAAUGACUAGUGUUCCUAAACAUGAUGUGAUUUCACAAGCUUAAACAUGUCUGACGUUCUUUUCUAACCUUUGCUGGAUGCUUCAACAGUGUUUGGCUGUCAAUAAUUUACCCUGGCUGAUUGAGUUUAUACUUGCCUGCUUUGUGAAUAAAAGUGUUUGGAUUACAAAGAAGAGAUUGAGUUAUCCUGCAGAGAGAUGGUGCAAUAAGCAGAUUUUUCUCUUCUUUCAUCCACAGCAUUAUUUCAGCUGGGAGCUGUAGUAUGUGACUAAUUAGCCAAUGGAAGUCCACUCUCUGGACUUUCUGGUGGUAUAUUUACACUGAAUUCUGGCCUGAUAAUAAAGGUGUCACCCAGUGUAACAAUGUGACACACCCAGAGUGAAGAAGAAAAGUCUAAGAUAACACAGAGCCUCUGUCAGCCCUCAAACUUAUUUUUCACAAGCUUCAGCAAUAUUCCAAACAACAAAAGAAAUAUGACUGAACAGACACAAAUUUUGAGGACAUAUUUUUUCCCCAGUAUUUUUUUAACAGGUACUACUGAUGUCCCAGUGCUUUUGAGGGUCUUGUUUGUCCUCCUGGAUGCUUUAGGAAGUUACCACUUUCAGCUCACCUAGAGCUGAUCUCAUUAAUAAAAGAAUGACUUUACAGAAAAGAGUUUCUAAAAUUAUACUCUCACUCAGAAUUGCAAGAGUUGGCUUUUCAGCCUGAAGAUAAAUUUCUUAAGCAUUAAGCUUACUUUAUCAAGUAUUACACCUGACAUUCUCUCAUAAAUUUUGCAUAUAUUUUAACUAAUUUUAAUAUUGUGUGGGCUUGGUUUAUAAUAUUCUCAUGCAGUUACUAAAGUUGAAUCUUCUCAGUCAUAUAUUAGUUGUAAGAAUGCUUAACCCCUUCCAAAAUAUCACUCACUUAAAAUCACAUCAGCUAAGUCUCCUCUUAUUUUUGCUUAUUUCUUGGUUAUUUACCAUGCAUUUUGUGUAUGUUGGAACCAGCCAUGCAGUCGUUGUAUUCCUUUUUUGAGAGGGCAAAUGUAUUUUGACAAGGUUGCUAUUGGAAACACUUUUUAAAUAUCUCAUGUGUCACAUCACAAUCAGCAUCAUAAUCUGAUCAGGUGGAUUAAUUUCAGAAGGCAGCAGAGGGCAUUGCUUACAGGGGUCACAGACAUUCAGAUCAUGGCAGAACUGUCACAGAUGUUACUUUGUGAAAACACAAAGAAUAAUGUGUUUGGAGAGAUCAGUCUUCAAUUAGCUAUAUUUUCUAGGAGCCUACCUUUACUUAGCCUCACAACAUGGGCCUUAGCUUUAGCACUUAAUCUGCACAAAUACCUGGCUUAAGUGUUAUGACUGACUGGCUAUUCAACCAAACCAUACAAAUGACCAAUUCGGUAAGAAAGCAUGAACUUCAGUGUUGAACCAAAUCAACCAACCUCCUCAAUCCAAAUGAACAAUGCUAUUCUAGGAGUCUGUGCUAGAAUAAAAUCCUAAUGCAAAGGCUGUCUUAAAAUGCUGAACCCAGAAGAAUUUGGCAUAAAUAAGACAUGGAGUUAGCUGACAUGAGAUAUUACAUUUAUUCCACUGUUGACGAGGACAAAACUGGGCCGCUAUUGUCACAGGAGAGGAUAACAAAGGAAGCUGAGGAAGUCUGUUCUGGAGGCACCAUGACAAAGCACCAGACAGAAAGCAGUCACGUGUGGGGAGAUGAGCAGAGACACCACUUCUCAAGCACCUGAUUAUUCUUUCUCAGUAUUUAGAAGCAAAAAUUAUCCUUAAGAAAAACAACCGCAAACGCAACACAGGCUACACAGAUGAGAAAAUGGGCUCAUGAAACACUGCACUAAACAGUCACAGGACCAAGAUAUAGAUUCCUAUUUCCAGGCUUGCAGAGCUCAAACCAUUACACCAUUCAGAAGCUGGCUUUGGUAUUACUUCAAGUUAUUCAAAACAGUCACCACUUGCUGAGCCUCUGAUGUCUCAUCUGUUGAAUGGGUUCCCCAUCUUCGUUGAAGGCCCCACAUCAUUUGCCAUGAACUUGCAGAAUAUUUCAAGAGAGAAGGCUGAAAAGGAAGGUGACUGGAAUAUUAAGAACUGUGAGAUAUUCUGAGGAAACUCUAAUUUGUAAAUUGGUAGAAAUGCCAGUAAUUUGUUGGGAAUUGAAGACCCUCUGUAUUCAAGAGCGAAGCUUGGCAGCUGUGCACUGUUGUUUUAUAAAUCAAUAUUACAUCUGAAGGUGGUGUUUGAAUGUUUGUGUCAUUGGGGUUUGUCUCCAACAUAGUCCUGUGACAAGAAAUGUUCAAACAAAACAAACACAAUCCCUUCCCUGUCCUUUAGGAUAAAGUCCAAACGUAAUUCCACAACAGGGAUAUAACAUUCAAAUCAACUACAGAACUUCUGUAAUUAUAUAAAACCCCACGACCACAGAAAUGCAAUUGAAUUGAAGACACUUUGCAAUAUUCCCCAAGAAAGGACUGUGUGGCUGUCAGAUUAACAAAAGUCAAGAGGUGGUGAGACAAUGCUCACCAUUGCAAAAAAGAGCUUUGUGCAUAAUGAACAGAAUUUGCAUGCCUGUUUAGGAAAUUAAGGUGAAGCCAAGGUGACUUAGGGUCACAUGAGGAGUCACAAC
rnacentral:lncRNA from 1 species